CCUAGGCGAUGCUUCCACUGGCCCCUUGUGCAUUAGUCUCCUGUCUGGAUGGUAAUUACCCCCAUCCAUGUGCCAUCUGCUGGCCCAUUCCUCCAACUUCACUGGGAACUGAAGAUGAAAGGUGAUCAGAAGCAGGGGCGGUAAGCAAGCACCUUCCAUGGUGGAAGUUCUGUCCUGCUGAGGGAGCAGGAGUGGAGCUGGAAUCCUGUGACACCACCACAUCAGAGGGAAGAGGAGAGGCGCUAAUCCCCGAGUGAAUGGAGAGUCUCCAUCUUCAUCUGCCUUGCUUGAUUUCCACAAAUGCCUCGGUCACAGGGAAACUUCAUGUGAUUUCUCAUCAAGGAUGGAACGUGGGAUUCUGAGCAGGACUGCAUUGUUGCCUUCUGGCCUGGGAAGACGUCAGGUGGAUUGCUUCUUCCCUUCUAAUAUUUGUUCAACAAUCACUUCACCAGUGAGGUAA
rnacentral:lncRNA from 1 species